rnacentral:rRNA from 1 species
GACGAACGCUGGCGGCGUGCCUAAUACAUGCAAGUCGAACGCAGUGGGGACGGGUGAGUAACACGUCGGUAAACUCCCCGUCAGAGGGGGUAACAGUUGGAAACAGGUGCUAAACCGAUACUGAUGGAUGGACUCGCGAGUCAUUAGCUGGUUGGUAAGGUAACGGCUCACCAAGGCCACGAUGCAUAGCCGACCUGAGAGGGUGAGAGGCCACACUGGGACUGGGACACGGACCAGGCUCCUACGGGAGGCAGCAGUAGGGAAUCUUCGGCAAUGGACGAAAGUCUGACCGAGCAACGCCGCGUGAGUGAUGAAGGUGUUCGGAGCGUAAAACUCUGUUGUUAGAGAAGCGGUAUCUAACCAGAAAGCCACGGCUAACUACGUGCCAGCAGCCGCGGUAAUUC